CUUGGCAUAAGCUUUCGUAUGCAUGCACACUUCUUCAGAUACCUGAAGAAGUGUGCAUGCAUACGAAAGCUUAUGCCAAGAAC